AUAGUCAUGGGAAAUCAGAAUUUAGCCAACUUGAUAUUCUUUUGCAAUACUAUUUGGCCCCAAUCUUGUUUGGAAUCUGGACUUUGCUGCUGAAUGGAAAAGUGGGAUGGAGUUGCAUGGAUCCAGGCUUUUGUGCUGCUGUUCUAAGCAGAGUUGGGCCUGGUUAAUAUGUGAUGUUUUCCUUCGGUGCUGUUUAGCCCCAGUGUUCUUUGGAGUCCGGGGAAGUUUGGCCUUUAAAAAUCAAACUGCCAUGGACACUGCUUUACCCAAAAUUUUGGUUCACAUUCUUCACUGGAUUAACUAUUGGGGCAAACAACGUAUAACCAUGUAAAACCAGUACGCUUGUAUUGGCAUUUCAUGGCUAGAGUUCUAAGUCACAAGCACCUCUUCGGCAAAGCCCACCUCCCUCUCUCGCUUGAUUCCCCGGCCAUCCUUAUCAAAGACCUUCCAGGUGAACAGGCAGCCAUCCUCAGCAGCAGUCAGCAGGAACUGAUCAUCAAAGAAUCUUGCUCUGUUGCCCAGGCUGGAGUGUAGUGGUGCGAUCUCGGCUCACUGAAACCUCCGCCUCCCAGGUUCAAGCGAUUCUCCUGCCUCAGUCUCCCGAGUAGCUGGGACUACAGAAACUUGCAAAAAUAGCACAGAGAGAGUGGACUUCUGGAAUGGCACGUGUGCAUCUAGCUACUUUACUUCUUCAUUACCACUAGGAAUGAACAUGUGGAUUGUCUUCAACCGUCCAUUGCUACAAACACUAUGGCAACAAAAUUCCCUACGGCAGCACCCAAAGGCUUGAAAUUAGCCAUUCCAAGUGUGUCCAAAAAACUAAAGGAAACCAUGAUUAAACAAGUAAAGGUAGAAAUGAUAUGCAUCAAAUAGAGAAGAAUAAAAGGAUCCCAUCAAUAUAGGGAUAGAACUGUAAGAAAAUAGAAAUUCUAGAGUUAAAAACUACAAUAACUGAAAUGAAAAAUCCACUAGAGGUGCUCAAGAAUAGAUCUGAACUGGCAGAAGAAUUAGUGAACUUUAUAGAUCAAAAAAGAUUAGCAAUUUGAAGAACAGAGAGGAAAAAGAAUUAGAAAUUUACAGAGCCUCAGAAAAAUGUGGGACACCAUUAAGCACACCAACUAAUGCAUAAGGUGAAUGCUAGAAGGAGAGGAGAAAGAGAAAGGAACAGAAAAAACAUUUUCAUAAAUAAUUGCUGAAAAUAUUAUAAAUUUAUUGGGAAACACCAGUGUACACAUAUAGGAAGCUCAAUGAACUCCAAGUAGGAAAAACACAAAGAGUUCCACAAACAGACACAUUUUGGCAAAAAUAAUGAAAGCUAAAGAUGAGAAGAAAAUUUUGAAAGCAUCAAUAGAAAAAUGACUGAUCACUUACAAAAGAGUCCCAAUAAGAUUAAUAGCAGAUAUCUCAGCAACAACAACGGAAGCCAGAAGAGAAUGGGAUAACAUGUUCAAAGUGCUUAAAGAAAAAGCUGUCAAACAAAAAUCCUGCAAAGCUAUCUUUUAGAACUAAAGGUGAAAAAAAAUUACCAAAAAAACUGAAAAAAUAUGUUGCUAGCAGAUAUGACUUACAGAAAAUACUAAAGGAAAUCCUUUAGGUUGAAAGCAAGUUACUCCAGAUAGUAAUUCAAAUCCACACAAAACAAAGAGCACUGGUAAAGCCAGUAGACAAGAUUUGACUCUGGAGGUGACGUCUGAGCCAAUAGGUAUUUGGAGUCUGGAGAAAAAGCCAUGCUAAUAAAUUUCUGAACUUGGAAGUCAAAA